ACCUGGAAGAGACCAGGGGGAAAAAAGCUCAGUGUAUUUCCCUACGAGGUGCAUGUUACUUCUUCACCUCAAAACCAGUUUUCAGAUAACCAGACACUAAAAACUGGACACUCUUAGUCUACUAAGAACACCAUGAUGUUGCUGAGAAGGUACACUCCUCUUCCUACUUAGUUUAUCUCCAUCUGUACAUGAAUUAGUAGUGGUCAGACUAACACAACAGCCAAACUAAAGUCAGGCUUUCUAGCCUUAAACCCCACGUGCAAUUCAUGCAACUGUUCAGCACAAAUUUAUGGGAGUUCACAGAGAUGUUUGAACUGACAUUUCUACUGACAUUUCAGAUUUUAAAACAUGUUUCCAGAUACACUGCUGCAAACAGUGCUUUCCUGGUUAUCAUCAGAGAUGCACUUUUCCUGUAGUUUUACGAAGGCAGUAGCUUUUGCUCCUUAGAUACGCUGAAGAAUACAUUGAAAACAGGGACAUUUGCUGUAUCCCAUUGGAUGAAAAAUACACAUUUUUGCUGAAAUCAUUAACUUGAGUCAGGUUAAGGGGAAAAAGACUGGAUUGCUGGAAAGAGAUAUUAAGAAUGACUACAGCAACUAUUAUUAUUAUUAUCAUUAUUAUUAUUUUAAAGUUCUCCUUUCUCAGCAGGUUUUGGACAAUAUCCCAAACUACAGAGGCCAUCUGAAGAGCUGGUACCACAGCAGCUAUAGGAGGGAGAAGUAUGGCUGAGUGACCAGCAAGGCUCUGAUGCACAUAACACCCAACAUUUAAGAAUUCUCAGUACUUGCAGUUUUGCAACGCCAAGAGGAUUUUAAAUGUUAAGUCAAAGAAAUUUCAGAUGUUUAAAAAAUGAUCAUCUUUAAUCACAUGUGUGCUGACCCUGCAAAUCUCAGUGAGAUUUCAUGGACCAAAGGUCACGUAAGUGCUAAGAUUACCUAUUGAUUUACAAGGAGGUGGCUGAUCUUCAACUAAAGAAUUGGAAACAUACCCACUGCAAGCCAAUUAAAAUACUACUUUUCAGUUAUAAGGUCUAAUUAUUAAAUGUCACCAUAGUAAAGUGCAUUUUAGGUACAAAAUACUCUGGAGUUUAAAUGCUUAAAAGAAGGCUCACCUUUCAAACUCCCUUGUUUUGGUACAUUCUUGGGCUCCUUUACUAAUCACUAUUAAGAAGUCUUGUGUUAAGACAAAUGGCACACGCUCUCUUUUAUAACCAAAUUUUUUCUUCUUGUGAUCGAGGAAGUGCCCAAAGUCAAUGUGAAACAGCUUGGAAAGACAGAAAGGUAUUUUAAGAUUAGUAAUUCCAUGUUUAAAUGAAGUCACAGUAAAAUCGAUCAUUUACUUAUAGUUCUGAUAGGUUGUUUUUUUUGAAAACAAACUCAUAUCAAAGUGAGGAUGACCUUAGGGGUAUGGUUUUAGAAAAACAUAUCUUACUUGUCCAUCAUCUUUGACCAUGAUGUUACUGUUGUGGCGAUCACCAAUGCCCAGGAUAAAGGUGGCAACACAGUAGCCGGCACAAGAACGUGUAAACAAGUCAAUAGCUGCAUCAUACCUACCCAAAACAGAAAAGGAGACACUUUCCUCAGGUAUUCUAAUAACACAGAAGUGCAAAUUUUCCUUUCUCAUUAAGAGAGCUACAAGCAGGAAUACCGGGGAAACAAGGGCAGGUAAAAAAGAAAACAAAACCAAAACCAGAUAGACACAAUUAUGGACAUAAACUUCCCACUUGAUGAACUUUAGUUCUCUUGAAAUUUCCAUCAAAAACAAGCACACGGACAAGAAAAACAGGCAACAGGAAAUCUCACAUGUCUCCUUUGUUCUUGUCCUUGAGCCACUGGUGCAAUGUAUGGCUGUUGAACUGCAGUGCUCCUUUUAAGCCUCCUUUACAUUGAAUCUGCAUGAUCGUGUGAGAGCUCCUCACGACCUCGAUGAGUCCCACACAGUCACCAAUUGAUAAACAACCAUAAGGCAACAUCCUGAAAGACAAAGCCUUGCACCUUUUUCUUCCUUUGUCAGCAGAAUCCCAUGGAUACCCAGACGGCUGUCAGGAUCCAUGCAUGCAG